ACGGGGUGCAGCAGGCGCGAAACCUUUACAAUGCGCGAAAGCGUGAUAAGGGAAUUCCAAGUGCUUAGUUCUACUAAGCUCUUCUGAAGUCCAAAAAGCUUCAGGAAUAAGGGCUGGGCAAGACCCGUGCCAGCCGCCGCGGUAACACGGGCAGCUCUAAUGGUGAUCGCGAAUAUUGAGCCUAAAGCGUCUGUAGCCGGCUUGGUAUGUCCCUAGUGAAAUCUUGCGGCUUAACCGUGAGAAGUGCUAGGGAAACUGCCAGGCUUGAAGUCGGGAUAGGUCGGAGGUAUUUCUGGGGUAGGGGUGAAAUCCUGUGAUCCCAGAAGGACCGUCGGUGGCGAAGGCGUCCGACUAGAACGGACUUGACGGUGAGAGACGAAAGCUGGGGGAGCGACCCGGAUUAGAUACCCGGUUAGUCCCAGCCGUAAAUGAUGCUGGCUUGGUGUUGGCCGUCCUACGAGGUCGGUCAGUGCCGGAGAGAAGUCGUUAAGCCAGCCGCUUGGGAAGUACGGCCGCAAGGCUGAAACCAAUUUUUCCUUCAGGGGAAUUAUUGGCAGUAUACUUAAAGGAAUUGGCGGGGGAGUACUACAAGAGGUGGAGGCUGCGGUUUAAUUGGAUGCAACGCCGUACAUCUCACCAGGAAAGACGGCAGAAUGAUGGUCAGUCCGAAGGGCUUACCUAACAAGCCGAGAGGUGGUGCAUGGCCAGCGCCAGCUCGUGCUGUGAAGUGUCCUGUUAAGUCAG
rnacentral:rRNA from 1 species